UACGUAGGGGGCAAGCGUUGUCCGGAUUUAUUGGGCGUAAAGAGCGUGUAGGCGGCUAGGUAGGUCCGUUGUGAAAACUCGAGGCUCAACCUCGAGACGUCGAUGGAAACCAUCUAGCUAGAGUCCGGAAGAGGAGAGUGGAAUUCCUGGUGUAGCGGUGAAAUGCGCAGAUAUCAGGAGGAACACCGGUGGCGAAGGCGGGUCUCUGGGCCGAUACUGACGCUGAGGAGCGAAAGCGUGGGAGCGAACAGG
rnacentral:rRNA from 1 species